rnacentral:lncRNA from 1 species
CGAAUUCUCGCGCGAGUGACGGCGCUCCUCCCACAGUGGGCGUGGCGCCGAGCCCUGGGGCUGCUGAGAGCGUCUCCGGGUCCAGGCUGGCGGGACUGAGCGGUGGGUUCGGUGCGAGCGUACCUUGACGCUGUCAGCCAGGACCGGUCUCGGGCCACCCACAAAUCCUUAAGCACACUUUCUCCCCACGCUCCCAGUUACCGUUAGGCAAAAGCGGACAGCGUCUCCGGCCCAGCCAAAGCAGCGCCUGGGAGACUCCUUCCAGGAGCGCGUUUCUGUCAGCAGAGCAAACACCGGGGUCCCCUCCGCGGGGUCCGCCCGCAGGUCCUGACAGCUCGAGGCGGUGACCGGCGGUAGUCCUGAGGGCCCGCUUGGCUCCCCCGCGGCCGCCCGCCGCUAGAUUUCAAACGCUCUAUUGGCGGGAACCCGUGCACCAGCUGAAACGCCUGCGGUGGCGCCACCUCUGGGACCUGGAGAGUCACCAGGAUGGGACUCGUCAAAAAAUUGCCCAUAAUCUUCAAAACUAAGAAAAGCAAACUAAAUGAGGCUUGUCCCACAAAAUUCAGAGAAACCUGAAGAAAAUCCUCAACAAUACAAAAUCCUCACCAAUCUUGGACAUAUAUAUGUGUACCAUGUACAUGUCUGGUGCCCAAAGAGAUCAGAAGAAGGUGUCACAUUCCCUGGAACUGGAGUUAUGGAUGGAUUUGAGAUACCAUGUUGGUGCUAGGAAUUGAACCCAGCUUUUCCAGAUCUGGUCCAUCCUGGCUGCCUAGAAUGGAGACAAACCUAGGAUGAUGUGGUAGAAGUGGAGCCCAUGACCACCCUACAAACCUCUUCACACGCCCAUCACUCAUAUUCUGGUGAUGUUAUGUAAAGAAGUGUCUAGUUGCCAGGCAUAGUGGCC